AUUGAACGCUGGCGGCAUGCCUUACACAUGCAAGUCGAACGGUAACAGGGACUUCGGUCCGCUGACGAGUGGCGAACGGGUGAGUAAUAUGUAGGAAUAUAACUAUAGGUGGGGGAUAACUACUCGAAAGAGUAGCUAAUACCGCAUAAUAUCUACGGAUUAAAGCAGGGGAUCGUAAGACCUUGUGCCAAUAGAAUAGCCUACAUCCGAUUAGCUAGUUGGUAGAGUAAAAGCCUACCAAGGCAACGAUCGGUAACUGGUCUGAGAGGAUGAGCAGUCACACUGGAACUGAGACACGGUCCAGACUCCUACGGGAGGCAGCAGUGGGGAAUUUUGGACAAUGGGCGAAAGCCUGAUCCAGCAAUGCCGCGUGGAUGAAGAAGGCCUUCGGGUUGUAAAGCCCUUUCGGAUAGAAAGAAAUCGCAUUGGCUAAUACCUGAUGUGGAUGACGGUACCGGAAUAAGAAGCACCGGCUAACUACGUGCCAGCCGCCGCCGUAAAAC
rnacentral:rRNA from 1 species